AGUGAACGCUGGCGGCGUGCUUAACACAUGCAAGUCGAACGAGAACGGGAUAUAGCUUGCUAUAUUUGUCAGCUAAGUGGCGCACGGGUGAGUAAUGUAUAGAUAACCUGCCCUCUAGAAAGGAAUAACAGUUGGAAACGACUGCUAAUGCCCUAUAUGCCUUUAAUACAUAAGUAUGCAAGGGAAACGCUUUAGUGCUAGAGGAUGGGUCUGUAUGGUAUCAGCUUUGUGGUGAGGUAAUCGCUCACCAAGGCUAUGAAGCCUAAAUGGUUUGGGAGGAUGGACAGUGAGACUGGAACUGAGACACGGUCCAUACUCCUACGGGAGGCAGCAGUGGGGAAUAUUGCACAAUGGACGAAAGUCUGAUGCAGCAUCGCCGCGUGGAGGAUGACACAUUUCGGUGCGUAAACUCCUUUUAUAUAGGAAGAUAAUGACGGUACUAUAUGAAUAAGCACCGGCUAACUCCGUGCCAGCAGCCGCCUAAA
rnacentral:rRNA from 1 species